UACGUAGGGUGCAAGCGUUUGUCCGGAAUUAUUGGGCGUAAAGAGCUCGUAGGCGGUUUGUAGCGUCUGCUGUGAAAACGCGAGGCUCAACCUCGCGCCUGCAGUGGGUACGGGCAGACUAGAGUGUGGUAGGGGGAGACUGGAAUUCCUGGUGUAGCGGUGAAAUGCGCAGAUAUCAGGAAGAACACCAAUGGCGAAAGCAGCUCUCUGGGACGGUACUGACGCUGAGGAGCGAAAAGCGUGGGUAGCAAACAGG
rnacentral:rRNA from 1 species